rnacentral:rRNA from 1 species
GAUGAACGCUGGCGGCGUGCCUAAUACAUGCAAGUCGAGCGAACGGACGAGAAGCUUGCUUCUCUGAUGUUAGCGGCGGACGGGUGAGUAACACGUGGAUAACCUACCUAUAAGACUGGGAUAACUUCGGGAAACCGGAGCUAAUACCGGAUAAUAUUUUGAACCGCAUGGUUCAAAAGUAAAAGACGGUCUUGCUGUCACUUAUAGAUGUAUCCAGGCUGCAUUAGCUAGUUGGUAAGGUAACGGCUUACCAAGGCAACGAUGCAUAGCCGACCUGAGAGGGUGAUCGGCCACACUGGAACUGAGACACGGUCCAGACUCCUACGGGAGGCAGCAGUAGGGAAUCUUCCGCAAUGGGCGAAAGCCUGACGGAGCAACGCCGCGUGAGUGAUGAAGGUCUUCGGAUCGUAAAACUCUGUUAUUAGGGAAGAACAUAUGUGUAAGUAACUGUGCACAUCUUGACGGUACCUAAUCAGAAAGCCACGGCUAACUACGUG